ACUGAUAUUGCUAAGGAAUUGUCUAGCAUUUCCGUUUACAAAGGUAAGAUUAUUAAUUUACUUUCACUUACCUAUCAGUUUCCGGUAAUUAAUUCAACAUUUCAUUAGACUGUGAAUUACCUCAAUGGGGGAGAGUUUAAUGUAGUGAAACAAUUAAUAGCUUCAUCAAAGUGAACAUUUAAUGAACGGUAAAAGCAUUUCAUUUACAUUCACAAUUGCCUUUUGAUGAGGUUUACAUAAUAUUUCAGUGUUCACAUCACUCCAGUCAGUUUUCAUGGACAAUUUGAUAGUUCAGACAUCUAUUUGACUAGCAAUCUAAUUGAUCAACUGCCAUAAAAUCUGACUAAAAUCAAAUUGUUGUUAAUUUUUGUUAAACUUGAACAUCGCGCUCUUUACCCUUUUAACGCUUCCCAUUUUGUUUUCCCCCUUAGCAUGACUUGCCAUUUGACCGGUUAACGUCUUUAAGCUUUACGGUUAUUUUAUGUUAAAUUUAUACUAAUUGUUAAGCAAUUAUGCUUCCAAUGUUAAUAAUUUUCUAUGUUGAUUAAUAGUUCCUGUGUUAAGUGUGGUCGGUUCAUUUACUGAAAAUAUCUGUUCUGAAAUUGUUUAUUAAUAGUGUUCAAUGAAAGGUUUCUGGUGUAACUGUAAUGCCUUUUGUUUUUUCUUAUAUUCAAUGGAUCUUACAUUCUGGACUUUGAGGACUUUAUUUUGAAAUUGUUUAUGGUUUUAACAAGCAUGUUGUAGUUGAAAGUCACCAAGAAGAGCUCAUCAUGAAGGAAACAAGAAAAAUGUCUAACUCAAUGAAAGUAAAUGUCAUUUAUUAUCAUAAUGACGAUCAAGAUAUAACCGAUAACCAAGUUAGAUGAUGCCACCGACAUGUUCCCAAUGUUAAAAGUUAAAAGUAAUUAACAUCUCAAUCGUAUUCUGUUUACCUGAUUGUUAUUUUAUUACCUUAGGUACUGACUACUUUACUAACUGGAAUCACACGGUUAAAAGCUAAAGAAAGAAAGAGAAACCUAAAGCGUUGUCAAAGUCAAGCCUUUUUUGCCAAAAAUGUAUACCAAUGGUGGAAACCUUAUCGGCAAAAGUAAACAACUUUGUCCAAUAAAGUCUAAACAAGAACAAUGUUCUGUUACCCGUUAGCAAAAUAAAGCUUAUCUUUAAAGCGUGGAGAAAAAUCUUGUAUCUGGUUAACGAAAUCAAACAACAAGGAAACAAGAAGCACUUCGUCUUGUUGUGACAGUCAUGUUUCAUUUUUUGACUCUUGAUUAUUCCAACACGUCUAUUUCAACCUGAUUACCAUCUGAUAAAAAGUUGCUACAUUGAAAUUUUGGUUUUACCCUUUGAUUCAAGCAAUUUGCUACGUUGUAUCCGAUUAGAUAUUGACUGAACAAUUGUGCAAACAUAAGGAGAAGGUGAAGAGGAUUAAUCUCUGUUGUCAACAAGAACUUGAAUCAAAAGCAAACCAGAUUAACUCUUAUUGAAUGUGAAAUCAAAAUUAUCGAUGUAAAAAAUCAUUUGGUCGAUAAAGUGCGGAGGCAUGAAAAUGCAUUAGCAUUCAAACACCAAUCAUACCAAAAUUGAAUGAUUACUUAGCUGACGAUGAUCAUGAAGAUGAUACCAAACCAAAAGUGGAAGAGUUAAUAAUUUUCAACAUCUUCACAAUGAUUAUUAAUAGAAAUCUUGAAAAUAAUUGACUUACUUUUGUCUUUUCAGUGCUAAGUCUUUUCACUUGACAAGUUCAAAAAACUAAAUUGUAAAAGUUGUUCAAAAAAAGGAAAUCAAAUCAUGUUAACCGAUGUUUUCUGACUCUACUUACGCUCUGUAUUAAUUGUUGAUGUAACAGGAAUCAGGUUAAGAAUCAUGUAACAUUGCUAAUUGAUAAUCCUGUAUUUGAAGAGGGAUUAAAUUAACGAUUUAGAAGCGAAUUAAUUAGAUUAAAUAAUGUUGUUCCAAUCAUCUUUAAAAUUGUAUUUGACGGUUGAUUAUCCCUAAAGGGGGUAAAGCCUAUAAGGUGUAAGUGUUACCUGAGUUUUGGGUUGUAAUAAAAUAUAAACUGUUGAACAUUGGAACGAGUAAUUAUUUUAAAAUUUGAAAUAUAUUUUACAUGAAAAGGGAUUGUUAAUCUUGUCAAUCAACUGUUGUAGAUGUUGUUUCAAUUAAAAAUGCUUUA